rnacentral:rRNA from 1 species
CCUACGGGAGGCAGCAGUGGGGAAUAUUGCUCAAUGGGCGAAAGCCUGACGCAGCGACGCCGCGUGAGGGAUGAAUGUCUUCGGAUCGUAAACCUCUGUCAGCAGGGAAGAACGGUCACUGUGCUAAUCAGCAGUGCAUUUACGGUACCUGCAAAGGAAGCACCGGCUAACUCCGUGCCAGCAGCCGCGGUAAUACGGAGGGUGCGAGCGUUAAUCGGAAUUACUGGGCGUAAAGCGAUCGUAGGCGGUAUGUCAAGUCAAGGGUGAAAUCCCCGCGCUCAACGGGGGAACUGCGGUUAAAGCUGGCAACCGGGCGUGUGUGGGAGGUAAGAGGAAUUCGAGGUGUAGGGGUGAAAUGCGUAGAUAUCAGGAGGAACAUCAGGGGCGAAGGCGGCUAGCUGGAACAUAACUGACGCUGAGGAGCGAAAGCGUGGGUAGCAAACAGGAUUAGAUACCCGAGUAGUC